rnacentral:tRNA from 4 species
UGGGGCGUAGCCAAGUGGUAAGGCAACGGGUUUUGGUCCCGCUAUUCGGAGGUUCGAAUCCUUCCGUCCCAGC